rnacentral:rRNA from 1 species
GACGUAGGGCGCGAGCGUUGUCCGGAUUUAUUGGGCGUAAAGAGCUCGUAGGCGGUCUGUCGCGUCUGCUGUGAAAAUCCAGGGCUCAACCCUGGACCUGCAGUGGAUACGGGCAGACUAGAGUGCGGUAGGGGAGAUCGGAAUUCCUGGUGUAGCGGUGAAAUGCGCAGAUAUCAGGAGGAACACCGGUGGCGAAGGCGGAUCUCUGGGCCGUAACUGACGCUGAGGAGCGAAAGCAUGGGGAGCGAACAGG